rnacentral:rRNA from 1 species
UACGUAGGCAGCAAGCGUUGUUCGGAGUUACUGGGCGUAAAGGGUGCGUAGGCGGCUCUAUAAGUAUGGUGUGAAAUCUCCCGGCUUAACUGGGAGGGUGCGCUAUAGACUGUGGGGCUAGAGUGCGGGAGAGGAAAGUGGAAUUCCUGGUGUAGCGGUGAAAUGCGUAGAUAUCAGGAGGAACACCGGUGGUGUAAACGGCUUUCUGGACCGUAACUGACGCUGAUGCACGAAAGCUAGGGGAGCAAACGGG